GGAAGUGUUCACCUGUUUAUCUACGAGAUUAUAGUUACUCUAAGGGGUUAAUUUAUUUAGAAUUCUAGGAUUUGGAGGUUGAAGGGUGUGAUUUCAGACUAGGUUGAAGGGUGUGAUUUCAGACUAGGUUGAAGGGUGUGAUUUCAGACUAGGUUGAAGGGUAUGAUUUUAAGACUAGGUUGAAGGGUGUGAUUUCAGACUAGGUUGAAGGGUAUGAUUUCAGACUAGGUUGAAAGGUUUGAUUUCAGACUAGGUUGAAGGGUGUGAUUCCAGACUAGGUUGAAGGGUGUGAUUUCAGACUAGGUUGAAGGGUAUGAUUUCAGACUAGGUUGAAGGGUGUGAUUCCAGACUAGGUUGAAGGGUGUGCUUCCAGACUAGGUUGAAGUGUAUGAUUUCAGACUAGGUUGAAAGGUUUGAUUUCAGACUAGGUUGAAGGGUGUGAUUCCAGACUAGGUUGAAGGGUGUGAUUUCAGACUAGGUUGAAGGGUGUGAUUUCAGACUAGGUUGAAGGGUAUGAUUUCAGACUAGGUUGAAGGUUAUGAUUUUAAGACUAGGU